UACGUAGGGCGCAAGCGUUGUCCGGAAUUAUUGGGCGUAAAGAGCUCGUAGGCGGCCAGUUGCGUCCGCUGUGAAAUCCCAGGGCUCAACCCUGGGCUUGCAGUGGAUACGGGCUGGCUGGAGGCAGGCAGGGGAGAACGGAAUUCCCGGUGUAGCGGUGAAAUGCGUAGAGAUCCGGAGGAACACCAAAGGCGAAGGCAGUGUCCUGGGGAGUACCUGACGCUCAGGUGCGAAAGCCAGGGGAGCGAACGGG
rnacentral:rRNA from 1 species